rnacentral:rRNA from 1 species
CCUACGGGUGGCAGCAGUAGGGAAUCUUCCACAAUGGACGAAAGUCUGAUGGAGCAAUGCCGCGUGUGUGAAGAAGGGUUUCGGCUCGUAAAGCACUGUCGGCAGUGAAGAAAGAUAUAGGUAUUAACUCGCCGUUAUUUGACGGUAAUUACUUAGAAAGUCACGGCUAACUACGUGCCAGCAGCCGCGGUAAUACGUAGGUUGCAAGCGUUGUCCGGAUUUACUGGGCGUAAAGCGAGUGCAGGCGGUUUGAUAAGUCUGAUGUGAAAGCCUUCGGCUCAACCGGAGAAUUGCAUCAGAGACUGGUGAACUUGAGUGCAGAAGAGGAGAGUGGAACUCCAGGUGUAGCGGUGGAAUGCGUAGAUAUAUGGAAGAACACCAGUGGCGAAGGCGGCCCUCUGGUC